rnacentral:lncRNA from 1 species
CAACGUUUCAUCCUGGCUCGAGCAUACGUUCUCAUGGCAGCCCGAUUAGACUCCAGUUUAACAGUCCUCAGCUUAACCCAAUUGAUUAUACAGAAUAGCCUAUACCCGAUGCAAAAACAACGCCGCUUGAGGGACCUAAUAAAAUUCCCUUCCAAGCUCCAAAUCAGAGAAGCAUGACAGCUGCAAACAGAAGGUAGUUUAGUGUUUUGUCGCAUGGAAAAAGAGGA